rnacentral:lncRNA from 1 species
GGAAAAGUAAAAUUUUAAUACAUUAUGCUUAAAUUUUUAAACCAUACCAAAUUCUCCUUUAUAUCCUUUUUAUAUAUAUGCGCAGUACACAACAAAUGCACGUACGGUACGUACUACCACAGACAUAAACUCACUAUUACUACUAUAUAUUUUGAAAUCAAGUAAAAAGAUGGAGAAUGUCUAUUUGCUUGUAUGGUUUCAAGUUUCAACGAAAGAAAUGGGUUUUACAACUAUUUCUUGAAUAUGCCUUUCAGUAGAAAAAAAAAUUAGUCAUUAAGUAAACUUUUAAAAGCCUAGUAUAUAAACGUCAUACAGAGGAAAUUAAGAAAACUAAUCUAAAACCUUGGAAGUAAAUUGGCUUUCAAUGGAUUCUUCAUGGUCACUACGAACUCUUGCUUUGGUUGCCAUAUCAAUUAUCAAUGGUACUCCAUAUCUCCUGUUUUGUGAAGGGCUUUUCUAGCAUUUCCAUAGACUGUUAACUUAGCUUGUGGAAGUUCCCGUUGAACUCUUGUAAAUGGGCAUUAGUCCUCAAAUGGUACAGAUUUUGAAGUGGCGUUUAAUUUCAUCUUUCAUUGUGGUUAGAUCAUCCACCUCUCUCCCUCCUACCUUAAUCCUGUUAAUAUAGUUUGCCCGUCUCCUUGCCAAAACAAUGUUAUGAAAAUAUGGAGUAUUAUUAUCCCCUUCCAAGUACCAUCGCACUCUUGAUUUUUGCCACCAACUUCGCUGUUGGGCCCUUAGUAAUUCCCUUAGAUCAACUCUUAGCUUGGUAACCUUUUCCCAUACCUCCCUACUUGCACUUUCAGAUUGCAUAUCAUGCUUCAGAACAUGGAUUUCCUCUUCCAAUUUGUGUAUCUUCUGUCUGCCCUCUGUAGACACCUAAAAUAAUAUAUAUAUAUAUAUAUAUUUAAUAAUAAAUAAUAAAAUAAACUAAAAUCUAAAAAAGUAUAUAAAAAAAAAAAAAGUAUGCCCAGCCAUCCCUUCAGCCAUCCUUUUCUCCACCCACUACGCGUGAUGGGGGUUCUGGCCACCAACUCUAGGGGGUGCCAGAACCCCAUCACCGGGUUGUCCAAAUUUUUGGACAACCCGGCUCCUUAAAACCACCUGCAACCUGCAAGAAAGAAAAAGAGGAGGAGCAAAAAAAAAAAGAAAGAGAGAAAGAGGAGAAGAGUGCGACGCCCCGGCAAAGAGAAAGAAGAGAAAGAGAAGAAGGGGGGAGCGGC